AUCACUAUCAAAAUAACCAUGGAAAUUGAAAUUUUUAACUUGACUGAAUCUUAUUCCAUAAUCAAUUGUGCCUUUAACAUAUCUAAGAAUUAUUUUGCUGCUUGAAAAUGAAUUUUAUUAGCACAGUGCAUGUACCUUGAUAGCAGACUUACUGCAUGCAUGAUAUUUGGCCUGGUUGCUGUCAAAUACAUUAGGCAACCUACUAGACUCCUAUACAGCCUUACAUCAACCUUUCAGCUCUAUCUUCUCUGCAAAAUUUUCCUUUUGAUUCAUUGGAGUUGGCUUGCACUCUUCCAUGUUGAAUUUCUUGAGAAUUUCCUUUGCAUAUUUUUGCUAAUAUACAAAUAUUGUAUUUUGCUUUUGUUGUACCUGCAUACCAAGAAAGAAUGUCAUCUUUCCAACAUUUGUCAUUCAAAGACAUCUUUCAUUUCUUUUUUGAACUUUUCAAUUAGCUCCUUACUACUUCCUGUAACAGGCAGAUCAUCAACAUAUAAAGAUACUACAAGUAUUUCAUUGUCAACCUUCUUGAUAUAUAAGGCUCCAUUACAACAACAGUACACCUUCAAUAAAUGUUAGAGAGUGAUCUGGUUCCUCUAACAGGUUUUUCGUGGUGAGUUUUUGGGGGAAGAAAGGUGUUCAUUUUCUUCGCCAACUUGGAAUUCUCAUAACCAUAAGCCCUCAAAUUUGGACCGUGGAACCCUCUCAAAUUCUGACGGCAAUAUCUUUUUUGGGACGACCAGCGUAAAACUACAAGUUUCCGCAUCCACAUCCAUACACAAUUAGUCUUAUUAAACAAAUAUAUUAGUAAAUAUUUGAUCAUCAAUUGACAAAAAAUUAACAUAUAUUGAGUGCGAAUCCCAAACGUAUAUUUACAUUUUAUAAACACAAAUCCAUUUAAUUA